GCCGGGGGAUGCAAUUGUUAUGCGGAAUCACUGAGCGUAAAGCGUCUGUAGGUGGUUACAUAAGUCAACUGUUAAAUCUUGAGGCUUAACCUCAAAAUCGCAGUCGAAACUGUUUGACUAGAGUAUAGUAGGGGUAAAGGGAAUUUCCAGUGGAGCGGUGAAAUGCGUAGAUAUUGGAAAGAACACCGAUGGCGAAGGCACUUUACUGGGCUAUUACUAACACUGAGAGACGAAAGCUAGGGUGGCAAAUGGG
rnacentral:rRNA from 1 species